UUGUUGGUUUGUAUGUUCGUCAGGCUGCGAUGACGUUCAUUUGUGAGGUCGGGCUCGGGCUCAUCGGUGUUGAUGGAGCAUAAAGAAGCACAAUGUUUGAUGAGUGCAUCAUUCACAAGAACGAGACGCCGUCGACCCUGUGAAACAAAUGACGAGGUGAUGAGGGGAUGAGGUGGUUGGCUCAUCAUCUCCGCUCUCGCCGGAAUCAAACUGAAUGUAUCAAGACUGAAUCAUGGUCGCCGAGAUCGAGUCACCAAAGAGAUAAUCUUCACAAAUAAAAUUUAAACCCCAUUAAUAAUUAGACCUUGCAACUCACAAAAAAAAUGUAAGAGUUGAUAUGAUUUUUGACUUGAUACUCGGUCGGUGUUGAUGGAGCAUAAAGAAGCACAAUGUUUGAUGAGUGCAUCAUUCACAAGAACGAGACGCCGUCGACCCUGUGAAACAAAUGACGAGGUGAUGAGGGGACGAGGUGGUUGGCUCAUCAUCUCCGCUCUCGCCGGAAUCAAACUGAAUGUAUCAAGACUGAAUCAUGGUCGCCGAGAUCGAGUCACCAAAGAGAUAAUCUUCACAAAUAAAAUUU
rnacentral:lncRNA from 1 species